GAUGAACGCUAGCUACAGGCUUAACACAUGCAAGUCGAGGGACCGGCGCACGGGUGAGUAACACGUAGCCAACCUGCCCUUUACUCGGGGAUAGCCUUUCGAAAGAAAGAUUAAUACCCGAUAUAAAGGAUGGGGAUGCGUUCCAUUAGGUUGUUGGUGAGGUAACGGCUCACCAAGCCUUCGAUGGAUAGGGGUUCGGCUAGGAAGCUCCCCCACAUCGGAACCGCGACACGGUCCAAACUCCUACGGGAGGCAGCAGUGAGGAAUACUGGUCAAUGGGCGCUAGCCUGACCCAGCCAAGUAGCGUGAAGGAUGAAGGCUUAUUGGUCGUAAACUUCUUUUAUAUAAGAAUAGGUAUUAGAUGAAUAAGGAUCGGCUAACUCCGUGCCAGUCGCCGCGGUAAUAC
rnacentral:rRNA from 1 species